rnacentral:snRNA from 1 species
AUACUUACCUCGUGCCAGGACCUCGUUGAUCAGCGAGGACGAGCCCCCAGGGCGAGGCGCGGGCAUUAAACGGCGCUCGCGUUGACCCCUGCCACUACCCCAAACUGGGGUAUAUGGGGCAUUCAUAUUGC